AUUGAUGGAAUCAUUGGCUCGAUUCGCUGCAAUUUUUGUCCGUACCCAAAUUAACGAAGACGCCCCCCCAAUCCGGCCCUGGAGGAGUCCGCUUGGAGGCCGACGGAUCCCGCGGCGAGAUGGCGGCUGCCAGCGGCGACGGGGAAGGCGAAAUCCACGUGGUGGAGGUGGCGGAGGAGUCGUCGUCCGCCGACGAGAUCUCCCCCCUCCUGGCGGUGGAGGGUGCCAAUAACAAGCCCCCCAGAAUGACCAUCUUCUCCGUCUCCUGUCCCCGCAGGAAACCCCCCAAGGAACCGACAUGUAGCGUGACAGAUCCAGAGAUUGCUUUUCUUAAUCAGAUCGUUUCGUGGAUAUGGAGUGGGUCUAGACACUCUGGACUGCUAUGCGUGGCGUCAUCUUCAAUUAUCUAUUUCGUAAUGGAUGUUUUGCUAGGCAUUUUCCCAGUCAGAUCAGCUCCAAUAUAUCAGACUGUAUUUACAAGAUGUACAAUACUCUUGAUCAUGUCACUUAUGUGGUUGAAAAGAACUGGGCAACCACUCAUACUACCAACAAAUGCAAGGAAUGUACUAGUUCUGAGAUCCUUAACUGGGUUUGUUUCAUUGCUGAGCUUCAUCUAUAGUGUCCAAAAUCUACCUGUAUCCUAUGCAGUUUUACUGAACUUUGCAACCCCAAUAAUGGCAUCAAUUGGAGCAAUGAUCAUUUUACAGGAGAAGUUAUCUCUUUCACAUAUUGGAGGUUUAACUUGCAGUUUUAUUGGUCUCCUGUUGAUUCUGCAACCUAUUCUUCUUUCAAAAGGGAGUUUGACUGAGACUUUUCAGAUGGACACUGUUGUCACUGAUAGAGGAAAGGAUGUUAUUUUCUCUAUUUUUGUUGGUAUAUUUUCAACAAUUCUGGGUGGAGUUAGCUACUGUCUCAUACGUGCUGGUGCCAUGGCAUCUGAUCAACCUGUGUAUACAGUUUUUUCAUUUGCGAUACUUGCUUGUCCUCUCUCAGCCAUAUGCAUUUUGAUAUUUCAGGAAUUUGUUCUUCCUAAUCUUUUCACUUUUCUUCUGAUGAUGGUGCUAGGUGUAUUAGCAUUCUACGCUGAGAUCCUUUUGGCACGUGGACUUCAGCUCGAGAGGAUUGCCAAAGUCACAAACAUUCAGUACAUAAAGGUGCUCUUAUGGCAGCUGUGGAGCAUGACCUUCUUGGGUGCUGCUCCAUCAUCUUAUAAACUCAUUGGAUGUUUGCUCAUUUUAGCAUCGGUCUGCGGCACCGCUUAUAUGGGACCCGAGAAAGAAAACGAAUGAUCGAGGCUGCGUCAAUUUAGAAGAAUGCUUAGCAAGGCGCAAGAUGCAGUGUUUAUAUAUAUAUAUAUAUAUAUAUAUCCUGCUUCCGCCAAACGGUCACGGAGUUUACAGAAGGAGGCUCGUUAAUCAUUUUGGUUCGUCCAAUGGAGACUAAAGAGAGAAUGUGCCGUAAGCCACUCAAAUCUGGUAUGUGGUUAACUAGCAACAACAGCAAUGGUUCUCGUGUUCCUGUUCGGUCGAAUUUUUUUCUCUCUUUCUUCACUCGGACGCAUCAGAUCCCAUUCAGGAGAAGUUAAAGUUCUAUGGAGGACAAAAAGGAAAAUGAAAAGACUUUGAGCCCUCGAUCUAACGAAAAUAGAUUUGAAUAUAGGUAGGUGGUUGAGUAUUUGAAAGUAUUGAAGGACGCAGAAAGAUGUUAUGAUUAGAGGUUGUAAUAGCAGGAGCCAGAUUACGUGUGAUCGUUGGACUCCUUGUUUCGAUUUUUUUUGUUUUGUUUUGGCACAAAGGAUAAGUGACUGUCAGGCUGAAACGUGAGUGAGUCCGCACUGUUGUGUAUCGUGUGUCAGGUGAUUUACGCGGCCAUCUUGUCAAUCUGACAAGGGACCUGAGUUGGUGUCGGGAUAUCAUAUCAAGCUGACGAGGCACAGGUGUCGGUAUAUUCCCUGAGGCGGUGAUUAGUGCUACGAUCCUCGCCUUAAUUGAUGUUUCAAAAUUAUGCCUCGACGACCCUUUUCUUCUGUACAUUUGGAUUUCCAUCGUGAUAAGCACACAUGCUUCUGAAAA